rnacentral:rRNA from 1 species
ACGGAGGGUGCAAGCGUUAAUCGGAAUUACUGGGCGUAAAGAGCACGCAGGCGGUUUGUUAAGUCAGAUGUGAAAUCCCCUGGCUCAACCAUGGAACUGCAUUGGAUACUGUCAAUCUUGAGUGUGGGAGAGGUAGGUAGAAUUCCUGGUGUAGCGGUGAAAUGCGUAGAGAUCAGGAGGAAUACCGGUGGCGAAGGCGGCCUACUGGACGAAGACUGACGCUGAGGUGCGAAAGCGUGGGGAGCAAACAG